GCUCAGUUAGUUCAGUGAUUAAAACGCUAGAUAAUUUUUUUUAUCUUAGAAAUGCAGGUUCGAUUCCUGUAUUAGGCC
rnacentral:tRNA from 1 species